CUACGGGAUGCAGCAGUGAGGAAUAUUGCACAAUGGAGGAAACUCUGAUGCAGCAACGCCGCGUGGAGGAUGACACUUGUCGGAGCGUAAACUCCUUUUAUAUAGGAAGAAGAUGACGGUACUAUAUGAAUAAGCGCCGGCUAACUCCGUGCCAGCAGCCGCGGUAAUACGGAGGGCGCAAGCGUUACUCGGAAUCACUGGGCGUAAAGAGCGUGUAGGCGGAUUAAAAAGUCAGAAGUGAAAUCCUAUAGCUUAACUAUAGAACUGCUUCUGAAACUCUUAAUCUAGAAUAUGGGAGAGGUAGAUGGAAUUUCUGGUGUAGGGGUAACAUCCGUAGAGAUCAGAAGGAAUACCGAUUGCGAAGGCGAUCUACUAGAACAUUAUUGACGCUGAGACGCGAAAGCGUGGAGAGCAAACAGGAUUAGAUACCCGUGUAGUC
rnacentral:rRNA from 1 species